rnacentral:rRNA from 1 species
GACGAACGCUGGCGGCGUGCUUAACACAUGCAAGUCGAACGGAAAGGCCCUGCUUUUGUGGGGUGCUCGAGUGGCGAACGGGUGAGUAACACGUGAGUAACCUGCCCUUGACUUUGGGAUAACUUCAGGAAACUGGGGCUAAUACCGGAUAGGAGCUCCUGCUGCAUGGUGGGGGUUGGAAAGUUUCGGCGGUUGGGGAUGGACUCGCGGCUUAUCAGCUUGUUGGUGGGGUAGUGGCUUACCAAGGCUUUGACGGGUAGCUGGCCUGAGAGGGUGACCGGCCACAUUGGGACUGAGAUACGGCCCAGACUCCUACGGGAGGCAGCAGUGGGGAAUAUGGCACAAUGGGCGGAAGCCUGAUGCAGCAACGCCGCGUGCGGGAUGACGGCCUUCGGGUUGUAAACCGCUUUCGCCUGUGACGAAGCGUGAGUGACGGUAAUGGGUAAAGAAGCACCGGCUAACUACGU